rnacentral:rRNA from 1 species
GUAGGGAAUAUUGCACAAUGGGCGAAAGCCUGAUGCAGCAACGCCGCGUGCGCGAUGAAGGCCUUCGGGUCGUAAAGCGCUUUUUGGGGAGAUGAGGAAGGACAGUAUCCCCAGAAUAAGGUUCGGCUAACUACGUGCCAGCAGCCGCGGUAAAACGUAGGAACCGAGCGUUAUCCGAAUUUACUGGGCGUAAAGCGCGUGUAGGCGGUUCGGUAAGUUGGAUGUGAAAUCUCCCGGCUCAACUGGGAGAGGUCGUUCAAUACUGUCGGACUGGAGGGUGGUAGAGGGAGGUGGAAUUCCCGGUGUAGUGGUGAAAUGCGUAGAUAUCGGGAGGAACACCAGUGGCGAAAGCGGCCUCCUGGACCAUACCUGACGCUCAGACGCGAAAGCUAGGGGAGCGAACGGGAUUAGAAACCCCAGUAGUCC